rnacentral:rRNA from 1 species
AUACGGAGGGUGCAAGCGUUAUUCGGAAUCACUGGGCGUAAAGGGUGCGUAGGCGGUUUGAUAAGUCUGAUGUGAAAUCCUAUGGCUCAACCAUAGAACUGCAUUGGAAACUGUCAGACUAGAAUACUGAAGGGGCAGAUGGAAUUAGUGGUGUAGGGGUGAAAUCCGUAGAUAUCACUAGGAAUACCGAAAGCGAAAGCGAUCUGCUGGGAAGUUAUUGACGCUGAGGCACGAUAGCGUGGGGAGCAAACGGGAUUAGAUACCCUUGUAGUCC